rnacentral:rRNA from 1 species
GUUGAACGCUGGCGGCGUGCCUAAUACAUGCAAGUCGAACGAACAGACGAGGAUCUUGCUCCUCUCGCGUUAGCGGCGGACGGGUAAGUAACACGUGGAUGACCUGCCUUUAAGACUGGGAUAACUUCGGGAAACCGGAUCUAAUACCCGAUAAUAUAUUGAACCGCAUGGUUCAAUAGUGAACGACGGUUUUGCUGUGCCGUAUAGAUGGAUCCACGCCGCAUUAGCUAGUUGGUAAGGUAACGGCUUACCAAGGCAACGAUGCGUAGCCGACCUGAGAGGGUGACCAGCCACACUGGGACUGAGACACGGUCCAGACUCCUACGGGAGGCAGCAGUAGGGAAUCUUGCGCAAUGGGCGAAAGCUUGACGGAGCCACGCCGCGUGAGUGAUGAAGGUCUUCGGAUCGUAAAACGCUUUUAUUAGGGAAGAACAACUGUGUAAGAAACUAUGCACGUCUUGACGGUACCUAAUCAGAAAGCCACGGCUAACUACGUG